UAAAGAUUCAUCGCUGAUAGAUAGGCAUGCGUUCCAUUAGGCAGUUGGCGGGGUAACGGCCCACCAAACCGACGAUGGAUAGGGGUUCUGAGAGGAAGGUCCCCCACAUUGGUACUGAGACACGGACCAAACUCCUACGGGAGGCAGCAGUGAGGAAUAUUGGUCAAUGGGCGUAAGCCUGAACCAGCCAAGUCGCGUGAGGGAUGAAGGUUCUAUGGGUCGUAAACCUCUUUUAUAAGGGAAUAAAGUGUGGGACGUGUCCUAUUUUGUAUGUACCUUAUGAAUAAGGAUCGGCUAACUCCGUGCCAGCAGCCGCGGUAAUACGGAGGAUCCGAGCGUUAUCCGGAUUUAUUGGGUUUAAAGGGUGCGUAGGCGGCCUUUUAAGUCAGCGGUGAAAGUCUGUGGCUCAACCAUAGAAUUGCCGUUGAAACUGGGGGGCUUGAGUAUGUUUGAGGCAGGCGGAAUGCGUGGUGUAGCGGUGAAAUGCUUAGAUAUCACGCAGAACCCCGAUUGCGAAGGCAGCCUGCCAAGCCAUGACUGACGCUGAUGCACGAAAGCGUGGGGAUCAAACAGGAUUAGAUACCCUGGUAGUCCACGCAGUAAACGAUGAUCACUAGCUGUUUGCGAUACAGUGUAA
rnacentral:rRNA from 1 species